UUCGUGGAACCGAAAAAGAUGUCUCCCUCACAGUGUUUGUGACAAAAGAAUUGCAUCGUUCCUUGGCGGCCUUUCAACAGAAUAUUCAGAGAUUUCCCGAGUGGGAAGAAUGACACAAUCAUCGCCUUGGAAGCUUCAUCACGAUACUACUUUGCAUUUCUGAAGAGGGAAGAAGAAAUCAACAUGCAAAUUCAAUUCCAUGGUUUUGUAAGUCCCAUUGAGAACACGAUUAAUUUGCGCCGGCACAAUGCUCUGACCGAGAAAGAAUUGAAGUUUCCACUUGGAAGAAAGAUUCACAUCAAAUUGACUGGUCAAGUAAAUGGGACACUGACUAACCAUACGAUGAGACUGUUUUGAUGAGGAAUUUAAAGAUUAUGUGUCCCAUCCGUUUGACUCACAGUUUGGUACCAUAGGUUGGUACGAUCUUCGUUCGAGAAGGAAAAGGGAUGUUCCAGAUACAGAAAAUCGUCAAACCAUUUACUACAAAGUCCGUUUCUGGGUGGAGUUAGUGGAACCGAAAAAGAUGUCUCCCUCACAGCGUUUGUGACAAAAGAAUUGCAUCGUUCCUUGGCGGCCUUUCAACAGAACAAUAUUCAGAGAUUUCCCGAGUGUUCGACCGAAAGGAAAAACAGCAUUGAGGGAUAUGGACCAAAGGCAAUAUGGAG